CGGUGGAGCAUGUGGUUUAAUUCGAAGCAACGCGAAGAACCUUACCAGGUCUUGACAUCCCUGACAACCCGAGAGAUCGGGCGUUCCCCUUCGGGGGACAGGGUGACAGGUGGUGCAUGGUUGUCGUCAGCUCGUGUCGUGAGAUGUUGGGUUAAGUCCCGCAACGAGCGCAACCCUCGACCUUAGUUGCCAGCAUUCAGUUGGGCACUCUAAGGUGACUGCCGGCUAAAAGUCGGAGGAAGUGGGGAUGACGUCAAAUCAUCAUGCCCCUUAUGACCUGGGCUACACACGUGCUACAAUGGGCGGUACAAAGGGUCGCGAACCCGCGAGGGGGAGCCAAUCCCAAAAAGCCGCUCUCAGUUCGGAUUGCAGGCUGCAACUCGCCUGCAUGAAGCCGGAAUCGCUAGUAAUCGCGGAUCAGCAUGCCGCGGUGAAUACGUUCCCGGGCCUU
rnacentral:rRNA from 1 species